CUUAAUGUGUUUGAGAGCAUCAGCUGUAAAGUUGUGAAGAGGUAGAGUUGGUAUACAGUGAAUAAUAGCUCUAUAUGAGUAAUGUUCUAAUCCAUAUUAUACCACAGUUAGUUCCGACCCUGCAAUGUGAUUGGUUGAGAGGCGUUUUAUGAGCGACAUUAUUAGGCGAUAACGCACUGUAACCGAAGCUCUCCAUGUAUUACUCCGCCACAUACAGGUAACCUAGCAACAAACAAAAAAAAACUAUACAAACCAAAUGCGAUAUCAUUAAACACCACUGGGGGGCGCUGGAUCCCAUAGGCACAUUGAAGAAAUGCCAUGUCUCCAAUAGGCGGCGCCGGCAAAGACGCGGUCCACACAAAUAAAUAAACACAGCGAUUCGAAAAUACGCAUUAUUACACACAUUAUCAGUUUAAUAGUUGUUAUUAUUAAAAUAAAAGCUUAAGUGUAUAUAUUUUCCAGUUAAUAUAGGGUAUUUUAAGCUGAAUGUAAGGUGGACUCCUCCGCUGGGAGGCGCCGAAGUAAACAAAACUUUAAUUCUUUAAAAAAACAUUUUCUUUCAGUCAAACGAGCACUGGACUUAUCUACACAGAUUUCUCUCCUAAAAAACGUUUAUUUGGGGUGGAGUGUUAGCAGCUGAACAGCCGCAGUGCUAUUUAAACUCGGGUCCUAAAAGACACAUUACUGUUGGACUGUCAGAGAGAGCA
rnacentral:lncRNA from 1 species